UACAGAGGGGGCAAGCGUUGUUCGGAAUUACUGGGCGUAAAGGGCGCGUAGGCGGCCCGCUAAGUCGAACGUGAAAUCCCUGGGCUCAACCCAGGAACUGCGUCCGAUACUGGAAGGCUUGAAUCCGGGAGAGGGAUGCGGAAUUCCAGGUGUAGCGGUGAAAUGCGUAGAUAUCUGGAGGAACACCGGUGGCGAAGGCGGCAUCCUGGACCGGUAUUGACGCUGAGGCGCGAAAGCCAGGGGAGCAA
rnacentral:rRNA from 1 species